rnacentral:pre_miRNA from 8 species
CUCUUUGGUUAUCUAGCUGUAUGAGUGCCACAGAGCCGCUCUCAAGCUAGAUAACCGAAAGU